rnacentral:rRNA from 1 species
GACGAACGCUGGCGGCGUGCUUAACACAUGCAAGUCGAACGGAAAGGCCCUGCUUUUGUGGGGUGCUCGAGUGGCGAACGGGUGAGUAACACGUGAGUAACCUGCCCUUGACUUUGGGAUAACUUCAGGAAACUGGGGCUAAUACCGGAUAGGAGCUCCUGCUGCAUGGUGGGGGUUGGAAAGUUUCGGCGGGUGGGGAUGGACUCGCGGCUUAUCAGCUUGUUGGUGGGGUAGUGGCUUACCCAGGCAUUGACGGGUAGCCGGCCUGAGAGGGUGACCGGCCACAUUGGGACUGAGGUAGGCACCAGCCUCCUACGGGGGGCAGCAGUGGGGAGUAUUGCACAAUGGGCGGAAGCGUGAUGAAGCAGCGCCGCGUGCGGGAUGACGGCCUUCGGGUUGUAAACCGCUUUCGCCUGUGACGAAGCGUGAGUGACGGUAAUGGGUAAAGAAGCACCGGCUAACUACGUG